CCUACGGGUGGCUGCAGUCGAGGAUCUUCGGCAAUGCGCGCAAGCGCGACCGAGCGACGCCGCGUGGGCGAUGAAGGCCUUCGGGUUGUAAAGCCCUGUCGAGGGGGAGAAAAGCUCGAAAGAGUGUGAUCUAUCCCUGGAGGAAGCUCGGGCUAAGUUCGUGCCAGCAGCCGCGGUAAGACGAACCGAGCGAACGUUGUUCGGAAUCACUGGGCUUAAAGGGUGCGUAGGCGGGCUGCCAAGUUUGGGGUGAAAUCCUCCGGCUCAACCGGGGAAGUGCCUUGAAUACUGGCGGUCUGGAGGGAGGUAGGGGCGUGCGGAACUAACGGUGGAGCGGUGAAAUGCGUUGAUAUCGUUAGGAACUCCGGUGGCGAAGGCGGCACGCUAGACCUUUUCUGACGCUGAGGCACGAAAGCCAGGGGAGCGAACGGGAUUAGAUACCCGGGUAGUC
rnacentral:rRNA from 1 species